GACGAACGCUGGCGGCGUGCUUAACACAUGCAAGUCGAACGGAAAGGCCUGCUUUCCCUUGUGGAUUGCGGGUACUCGAGUGGCGAACGGGUGAGUAACACGUGAGUGAUCUGCCCCCAACUUGGGUAUAAGCCUGGGAAACUGGGUCUAAUUCCCGAUAGGACUGCAGGGUGGUGCCUGUGGUGGAAAACGAUUUUCUAGUGGUUGGGGAUGAGCUCGCGGCCUAUCAGCUUGUUGGUGGGGUAAUGGCCUACCAAGGCGGCGACGGGUAGCCGGCCUGAGAGGGUGGACGGCCACAUUGGGACUGAGAUACGGCCCAGACUCCUACGGGAGGCAGCAGUGGGGAAUAUUGCACAAUGGGCGGAAGCCUGAUGCAGCGACGCCGCGUGGGGGAUGACGGCCUUCGGGUUGUAAACUCCUUUCGACCGCGAGGAAGCCACCUGGUUGGAAGGGUGGUGACGGUAGUGGUAGAAGAAGCACCGGCUACUACGUG
rnacentral:rRNA from 1 species